rnacentral:sRNA from 1 species
UACAUAUGUCACAGCCCUACUAUAUCGUUC